ACUUGGAUAGCUCAGCGGUAGAGCAUUGGGUUGAAGCCCCAUGUGCCUUGGUUCGAUUCCAAGUCCAAGUACCA
rnacentral:tRNA from 1 species